rnacentral:lncRNA from 1 species
UUGGGUUUAUAUAUCUCAACAAUGUAAGCCUAGAGAAGUUUUGCUUAGUGUCUUGAUGAAAGUUCUCUCUCCUUCUAAAGAUGAAAGAGAGUUAAUUGAGAAACUGGACGAGAAUGAGAUGUGGAAAAGGCUUUUUGAUGCUUUGAAAGAAAAGCGGUACUUGGUAGUCCUCGAUGAUAUCUGGCGAAGCGAGGAUUGGGAUAUUCUUAAACCUGCUUUUCCACGAGGAAGAAAGGGAAGCAAAAUAUUAUUCACAACACGCAACAGGAAUGUGGCUUUAAAUGCCGAUCCUUGCAACACUCCCAUGGAGCUCUCACUUCUUACAGAUGAUGAAAGUUGUAAUCUUUUGUGUAGGAAAGCAUUCCCACGGAGCAAAAUGGGUUCUCAAUGCUACUCAGAAGAAUUUGAGAAGCUUGGAAAGGAGAUGGUGAAAAAAUGUGGAGGUCUGCCUUUAGCAAUUGUUGUGUUGGGAUGCUUGCUAGCAACAAAACAGUCCUUGGCUCAAUGGGAGAUGGUUCACAAAAACAUCCAUGGACACCUAAAAGGGCUCCCACACCAAGAUCAUCAAUAUGGUGCAGUGAACAGGAUUUUGGUUUUAAGCUACAAUGAUUUGCCUUAUCAUUUAAAACCAUGCUUUCUGUAUCUUGGUCAUUAUCCGGAAGAUUGGGAGAUAUCGAAAAGUGAACUCAUUCAACUAUGGAUCGCUGAAGGAUUCAUUUCACCAUCAUUAGAAAGCAAAGAAAUCUUGAUGGAGGAUGUAGGCGAAUAAUUCCUAGAAGAGCUUAUAAAUAGGAGCUUGGUUCAAGUUUGGAGGCGAGACUAUACAGGGACAAAAGUGAAAACAUGUCGAAUACAUGAUCUCUUGAGGGACUUGUGCACGAAGAAAGCAAAAGAGGAGAAGUUCUUGGAAAUUAUUCAACAAUCAUCGGCUGAAUUUGAUGUGACACUGGCAAAACCUUUGCUACGAAGAAUUUCUAUUCAUCCUAGUGAAAGGAAAGUUCAUUUGAAGGGAGAGCACCCAAAAUUACGUUCUUUGUUGUUGCCUCAAGACGUUGAAUUGAUAGAAUUCUUCAUUUCAAAAUGCAAAAGCUUCAAAUUUUUAAGGGUGUUGACUCUUCUAAGAAGGAAUGUCAUAAAGUGGCAUGUGUCAGUUGAAAUUGGUAAUCUCCAACAUUUGAGAUACUUGAAGUUAGGAUGCUAUGGAGAAAUGAUUUUGCCGCAAUCUAUUGGCAGGUUGAAGAGUUUAUACACUUUAUACAUCAGGUAUGAAACUCACAUUGUAAUUCCAUAUGUUGUGUUCAAGUUCGAGCGUUUAAGGCAUAUUAUAUUAAAAAGGACUAGGUGGUGCGAAAGAGGAUUUCGUUGGCGGCUAGGGUUCACUUCAAAAAAUAUUGAAACUUUGAAGUACAUAGAGGUGGAUGAGAGGCUGAUUGAAAAUAAUGUGGUGCUUAGGUUGACUAAUAUUCAGAGUCUAGGAUUAGUAUUUACAAGAUCAGAAUAUGUGAAGCCUAUCCUAAUCUUGCUAACCAAAUUGCAACGCCUUCGGUCAUUGUCCUUUGAUAUUUUAGACAAUUCAAUCUUAUCAUAUCUAGACUUAGAACCCCUUUCUCAGUGCCAUCACCUCUCCAAACUGAGAUUAAUGGGGGCGAUAGAAGGAGUUCCAAAUUCGAGCCAUCGUGUUUUGGAAUUUCUUCCACCAAAUAUCGUCAAACUAACUUUGGAUUCCUGUAAUAUGAGCCAGGAUCCAAUGGGCGUAUUGGAAAAGCUAUGUCAUUUAAGGAUUUUCUAUUUGUCUAAAGCAUAUAAUGGGAGAAAAAUGAUUUGCUCUGCGAAUGGGUUUCCUCAACUUGAUUUUCUUCAGAUAGUGAAUCUAAUAAAGUUGGAAGAGUGGGAAAUAGAAGAAGGCGCAAUGCCAUGUCUUCGAAGAUUGGAAUUAGUUAACGUUAGUUUAGGCAUGUUUCCAGAAGGAUUAAGGUAUAUUACUACUCUCCAAGAAAUGUCAUUAGUAGGAUUGAGUUCAUCAUUGGAAGAAAGGAUUAAAGUGAUAGAUGAAAGAGAAGGAGAGGAUUUUUAUAAAGUGCGCCACAUUCCCUCCAUCGACUUUGUAAAGUUACUGGAUUCAACAUCACUUGAGGUAUUUAUUUAUGUAAAAUAAUAAUCUUUUCAUUCUUUUUUUUUUCUUUCACCCAUAUAGUUAGAUAUUGAUAUAAAUUUAGUAAAACAACAGAAAACAAAAAUACACAUCUUUAAUUAACAUAAAAAUUGUAAUUAAAAUAUAAAAAAAUAAGGAUUUUGAAUAUUUUUCUAGAAAAACUAAAAUUUUAAUAUCAUUUACCAUAAUUUUCAAUUCAUAUUUUUAAUUAGUAUACAUAAGAGAUGAUGAUAUGUUUAUACCAUUUUCUUGUUGAUGCAGGUAAUUACACUUCAUUGAGAUAUUCAACCCCAUCAAGUGUGUGUUUUUAAAUUGGAUUGCUAAAUAAUAUGAACUUGAAUAAAGUGAUGUUUAUCAAUAACUUGAUUAGAGUAUAGAUUUUCAUUAAUGAAGAAUGAUUAAUUACACCUAACGUUUUCUUUCUUACAAAAAGAAAAAAAUAAAAGCGAGUUUUAUUAUUAUUAUUAUUUGGAAUAAGUUAUUUUAUAAUUGCUAUGAAUGAUAUGAAAAUAAAUUUGAUUUAUUAUAUAUUUUUAAUCUCUAUAAAUAUAAAUUUUCUUUUGCUCUCAUUCCUUAUUUGCUUUUACUCUUCUAUUAUUAUUAUUAUUAAUUACUGUCCUUAUUAUUUAUUUCAUAACUAUAAUUUGUUUAUAACAUUUUUAAUCCUGAUUAUAAGUUGGAUUUAUUGAAUUUUCUGUUUUUAAUUUCUUGUUAUUAUUCUUAAUUUUAUUAAUAACAAAAAAUCUUUCCCCAAAUUUCCUAUUUCACUAAACACGUGUUUCUCCACUAAUAUAUGUUAUUCCCGAAAACAGCUCUUCGAAACUUCUGAUAAAGAGAAAUACUUCUCCACUUAAAAUAUUCUACUAAUACUUGCCGAUCUGUUUGGUGGAAUCUGUUCUGAACAAGCAGGAGAAAUGGCAGAGGCUAUUGUGUCCUUAGCUGUUGAAAGAAUUUCUGAUUUACUCAUCCAUGAAGCUGUUUUCCUCAAAGAUGUGAAAGAUCAAGUUGAGAGCCUAAACGCUGAACUUAAGCGAAUGCAGUGUUUCUUGAAGGACGCGGAUCGCAAGCUUGAACAAGAUGCGCGUUUCCAGAAUCGGGUGUCGGAAAUUAGAGAUCUUGCUUAUGAUGCUGAAGAUGCUAUCGACUCCUUCAUCCUUGAACGUGCACAUCAAGGAGGCUUUCAAGGAAUCGUCAAGAGAUUCACCUCCAUUUGCACCAAACCUUCGCAUCUGCACAAAAUAGGGGUGCAGGUCAAAGCAAUCCAGACCAAGCUCCAAAACAUUUCCAAGAACCUUCCAGCUUAUGAGAUAUCCCGUGAUGGAGAAGGCUCUAGCUCAAUUUUGCAGCAACGGGUAAGAAGGACAUACUCACAUGUCGAGGAAGAGGAUGUUGUUAGCUUGGAGGUUAGCACGAAGGAUGUCAUGACGAAGUUGAUGACUGAAGAAGAUAGACUCCAUGCCGUCGUUUCGAUAGUCGGCAUGGGGGGCAUUGGUAAGACUACUCUUGCCAGAAAAGUAUAUAAUCAUGUUGAUGUGAGACGCCAUUUUGGUUACAUGGCUUGGGUUUAUAUAUCUCAACAAUGUAAGCCGAGAGAAGUUUUGCUUACUGUCUUGAUGAAAAUUCUCUCUCCUUCUAAAGAUGAAAGAGAGCUAUUUGAGAAACUGGAAGGGAGUGAGCUGAUGAAAAGGCUUUUUGACGCUUUGAAAGAAAAGCGGUAUUUGAUUGUCCUCGAUGAUAUUUGGGGAAACGAUGAUUGGGAUAUUCUUAAACCCGCUUUUCCACGAGGAGGAAAGGGAAGCAAAAUAUUGAUCACAACACGCAACAGGAAUGUGGCUUUAUACGCCGAUCCUUGCAACACUCCCAUGGAGCUCUCAUUUCUUGCAGAUGAUGAAAGUUGGAAUCUUUUGUGUAGGAAAGCAUUCCCACGGAGCAAAAUGGGUUCUCAAUGCUGCUCACAAGAAUUUGAGAAAUUCGGAAGAGAGAUGGUGAAAAAAUGUGGAGGUCUACCUUUAGCAAUUGUUGUCUUGGGAAGCUUGCUAGCAAGAAAACAAUCAGUGGAUCAAUGGGAGACGGUUCACAAAAACCUUUUCCAUGGACACUUAAAAGGGCUCCAACAACAUGAUCAUCAAUAUGGUGCGGUGAACAGGAUUUUGGUUUUAAGCUACAAUGAUUUGCCUUAUCAUUUAAAACCAUGCUUUCUGUAUCUUGCUCAUUAUCCAGAAGAUUGGGAAAUAUCAAAAAAGAACUCAUUCAAUUGUGGAUCGCUGAAGGUUUCAUUUCACCAUUAUUGGAAAGCGAAGAAAUCUUGAUGGAGGAUGUAGGCGAAGAAGAGCUUAUAGAUAGAAGUUUGGUUCAAGUUUGGAGGCGAGACUUUACAGGGACAAAAGUGAAAACAUGUCGAAUACAUGAUCUCUUCAGAGACUUGUGCAUGGAGAAAGCAGAAGAGGAGAAUUUCUUAAAAUUUAUUCAAAAAUCUGAAAAUUCUCUUGAUGUGACCUUGGUAGCAUCUAUGCCACGAAGAAUUGCUAUACAUCCUGGCGAAAGGGGCUUCUAUUUAAAAGGAAAGCAUCCAAAAUUACGUUCUUUGUUGCUGAUGAAUCAAGAAAAGGUAUUGAUAAAUGUCCAUAUUUCAAAUUUCAAUAACUUUAAACUUUUAAGAGUGUUGAAACUUACUAGAUGGGUUGAGGAGUGGCAUGUGUCAAGUGAAAUUGGUAAUCUCCAUCAUUUGAUGUAUUUGAGGUUACGAUGCAUAAUGAAAAUAAUCUUGCCAAGGGCUAUUGGAAAGUUGAAGAAUUUACACACUUUGUACCUCCGAUGCCUUUUUCACUUUGUAGUUCCAAAUGUUGUAUUCCAGUUGGAACGCUUAAGGCAAUUUGUAACGAAAGGGGAUGAGUAUCCUGAGAUCGAAAGAUAUUUUCAUUGGUCGCGAAACUUUUCUUCAAAAAAUAUUGAAACUUUGAAGUACAUGUGGGUGGACAAGAAGUUGAUUGAAAAUAAUGAGGUGCUUAGGUUGACUCAUAUUCAGUGUUUUGGAAUAAUAUUUAAGAAAUCAAAAGAUGUUAAGCCUAUCUUACUAUUGGCAAUAUUGGAUUGUCUUAAGUCAUUGUCCAUGACUUUGUGUAAAAUUUUCUAUAGAAAUCAAGCUCAUUUACAUAUCUAGAUUAGGAACCUCUUUUACAGUGUUGUCGCCUCUCCAAAUUGAAGUUAAGUGGUCCCAUAAAGGAAUAUCCACAUCAGAGCCAUCAUGCUUUGAAAUUUCUUCCACCAAGUAUUGUCAAGUUAACUUUGCAGUUCUCUCAUAUGACUAAUGAUCUGACGGGUGUGUUGGGAAAGCUGCCAUGUUUGAGAAUUCUUAAUUUACAAUAUUUGGGGAGAAAAAUGAUUUGGUCUGUCAAUGGUUUCCUCAACUUGAUUUCUUAAAAUGCAUCCUUUAUUUAAAUUGAAGGAGUGGGAAAUAGAAAAAAGCACAAUGCCAUGCCUUUCGAAGAUUAGAGUUUGGCCAAUAUUGAAAGGUUAGGGAUGCUUCUAGAAAAAUUGAUGUAUAUUACUACUUUUCAAGAACUGUUAAUAGUAGGAGUGAAUUUACCAUUUAAAAAUAGGAUUAAAGGGAUAGAUGGAAGAGAAGGAGAAAAUUUCUAUAAAGUGCACCAUAUUCCCUCCAUCCAAGUAUUUACACGCCUUUGCCCGUGAGGUAUUUAUUUCUGUAAAAUAAUAAUCUUUCCAUUCUUUUUAUUUUUCUUUCACCCAUAUAAUUAGAGAUUGAUAUAAAAUUGGUAAAAUAACAUAAAAGAUACCAUUUUAUCAUUAAAAUAUAAAAAAUAUUAUUUCAUAAAAAUUAACAUAAAAAUUAUUAUUAAAAUAUAAAAAAUAAGGAUUUCAAAUAUUUUUCUAAAAAACUAAAAUUUUAAUAUUAUUUUAUUAAUUCAUAAUUUUUAUUUCAUAUUUUUAAUUAGUAUACAUAAGAGAUGAUAAUAUGUAUAUACUAUUUUCUUCUUGAUGCAGGUAUGGCCGAACUCCAUCAAGUGUGUGUUUUUAAAAUUGGAUUGCUAUAUAAUAUGAAUGAAGUGAUUGUUGAUUAUUAAUUUGAUUAGAAUAUAGAUUUUCAUUGAUGAAGAAUGAUUAAUUAUCCAUUUUUUUUCUUCUAAAUUCAAUAAAUUUCUAUGUUUUUUUCUUAUAUUUCGAGACAUUAGUUCUCUUGUUUACAAUAUUAGUUUUGAGGGUUUUUUACCCUAAUAUUAUAAAAAAAAAAUUUAUACACCAAAAUGAAUUGUCAGCCAGAUUAAUUACGAAAAUGGUAUAUUUUUUGGGGUCGUGCUUACCUGACAGGCACAGUCCAUUAUUUUAUUAUUAAUUUUCUUUUUUUGUUUUAAAAAUUAUUAUUAUAUUAUAUUAUUUUUAAUAUUUAUAUUAAUAUAUAGAUAAAAAUACGGGUUUUACACGGAUAAAAAAUACCCGAAACAGGUCGAGCCUGUCAGGUAGGCACGACUAGUCGUGCCUGACAGGUAGGCACAACACCCUGAACAUUUCCCUUUUCUUUCUUUGCAUUUUACAAAAAAUUGGUCUUAUAUCACUUUUGGUCCCUCUACUAGGCCUAAAAUUAAAAUUCAAUCUUUAUACUUGAAUUUCUACAAUAAUAUUUGGUUCUAUUUUUUAUAAUUUUUUUUCCAAAUAAUUAAUAUUGUUAAUUACUCUGAUAAAAUUUUUGACUUGUUUUUUUAAACAAAAAAUUAGUUUAACAAAACAAUGAUAUGUUAAGUUAGAAUAAUUUUUAAAUAAUAAAAUUUCUAACAAAAUUGUAUUAAAAUUUUUGUUAAUUACUCUAUAAAAUUUUUGAUUAGUUUAACAAAACAAUGUUAUGUUAAGUUGGAAUAAGUUUUAAAUAAUAAAAUUUCUAACAAAAUUGUAUUAAAAUUUUUGUUAAUUACUCUGAUAAAAUUUUUGACGUGUUUUUUUAAACAAAAUAUUAGUUUAACAAAACAAUGAUAUGUUAAGUUGGAAUACAUUUUUGUUAGAAAUUUUAUUAUUUAAAACUUAUUACAGCUUAACAUAUCAUUGUUUUGUUAAACUAAUAUUUUGUUUAAAAAAACACAUUAAAAACUUUAACAGAGUAAUUAACAAUAUUAAUUAUUUGGAAAAAAAUUAUAAAAAAUAGGACCAAAUAUUAUUGUAGAAAUUCAAGUAUAAAGAUUGAAUUUUAAUUUUAGGCCUAGUAGAGGGACCAAAAGUGAUAUAAGACCAAUUUUUUGUAAAAUGCAAAGAAAGAAAAGGGAAAUGUGCAGGGUGUUAUGCCUGCCUGACAGGAUCGACCCGUUUCGGGUAUUUUUUAUCCGUAUAAAACCCAUAUUUUUAUCCAUAUAUUAAUAUAAAUAUUAAAAAUAAUAUAAUAAUAAUUUUUUAAAACAAAAAAAAUUAAUAAUAAAAUAAUAGGUUGUGCCUGUCAGGUAGGCACGACCCCAAAAAGUAUACCAUUUUCGUAAUUAAUCUAGCUGACAAUCCAUUUUGGUGUAUAUAUAUAUUUUUUAUAAUAUUAGGGUAAAAAACCCUAGUUUUGAGAUCAAUUCAAUAUUUUCUUCCAUUGUCUUUUAGCACUGCUUCUGCCUUCUCUAUUUAAAUUAAAAAUUAGAUGAUACAAUGUGAAUGAAAACGUAUAUACUUUUAUAUGAUAUAACAAAAAAUAUUUAAGAUUUCUUAUAACAAAAAUUACUUAUUAUUAAUACCCUUUUUCAUUUAAUAAUGAAUAAAACAGAUUUCUAUUCUCUUGACUUAUAUAGAACAAUGAUUAAAUUUUUUAUUAGAUACCUAUUUGACACGAGUUCAAACUAUAUGACACCCAUUCUCACCCUAAUAUUGUAUAAAAAAAAGUCAAACAUUAAUUAUUGUAUAACUUUUAACCGUUUAAUCAAUGAUAUUAAUCAUUUCAUAAAUUUUUUUUAAUAAAAAACAUGAUAAAGUAUUAUAUAUUUUUUAAUCAUUUACUAUUUACUAAGAGCAAAUCAAUCAUUAAAUAUCUGAGUCUAUAAUUAUUUCAACUUCUACCUUGAACCAAACAUAGUAUUGUAACAUGUUUAAUAAUGUACUACUUGUCCGGUAACAAUAUUACCGAAGGUAAUCAAUCAUUUUAUGAACUAACACCCCCAAUCUAAAUUCACAAAAGUUUGUGUGUUUGAGAAAGUUGAAUUCACAUAAUUUGUUCUUCCUAUAAACAAUAAGAAGAAAGUAGCGACUCAACUUUCUAUUGAAGACUUGUUUUAAUAGGGUUACACAAAUCAAAAUAUAGUAAAUUCAGGGAACUCUAUGUAGUAAAUUCAACUUUCUAUUGAAGACUGUUGGUGAUGAGGUCCUAAUCUAUCUUACUAGUGCUCGUACCAGUUAUGAUGUAUGGGUAGCCAUUGAAAAUAAGUUUGCAACUAAAUCUACUAUUAAACUCUUUAGUAUUCGACAUGCGUUGUAUUCUCAGAAGAAGGGCCACUUAUCUGUUAAAGAAUAUUUGGCCAAGAUCAAGUCGAUGAGUGAUAUGUUGAUUAUGGCAGGGAGUUCAAUUUCUGAACAAGAAUAGGUUAGUAUAGUUCUUGCGGGCCUUUCGGUCGAAUAUGAGUCUAUGCGGGUAGUAGCUUCAGCUACUUGUGUGUCCCUUGAUCUUUUGACAAAACUACAUUUUGAUUGCGAAGAAAUACAACUUAAGUUCUUGACUAGUAUUCCAAUAUAGGCAAACUUGGCUAGAAAACAAGUUUAUAAAAGUGGUGAUCAGGAAAAAAAGGGUCUGACAGAGAUUAUUAACGGAGUAAACAAUCGUAUAGAGGUGGUUUUCAACAAAGUAAAGGUUUCCAUUGUGGUAGAGGACGUGGGGGCUGGUUUUCACAUAAUCGACCCCAAUUCCAGUUAUGUGGUAAAGUUGGACAUGUUGUUCAAAAGUGUUAUUACCGAUUUGAUGAGAAUUUUGCAGGUAUCUCUAAUGACGAUAGGUCGAUAACAGUAAAUCAUCAUCAUCUUUUCGAUCCAAGGCAGACCGCAUCUAACUAUGGGGUGCAUCAUUGUUGCAAUAAAUUUCCUAGCUUUUAAGGAGGUAGUGGUCAACCAUCGAGAUCUUAAACCAGCUGUGAUGACCAGAUGUGGUACCCCGACUUCAGAGCCACAAAUCAUGUUACCAAAGAUCUCUCUUCACUUAGUCAUCAUACUGAGUAUACAGGUACGAGUCAACUCUUGAUGGGCAAUGGGACUCCUAUCCCUAUCACUUAUGUAAGGACCUCUCGAUUACCACUAGUAAUAGACUUUUAUACUUUAACCGUGUUUUACCAUGUUCCGAAUGUAUGCAAAAACUUGAUUUCUGUAGCUCAAUUCGCAAAAGAUAAUCGGGUGUUGACGGUCACUAAACUAACUAUAAAUACCACAAAGGCAAGCGUAGCUAUCGAACAAUAGUAUAUCUAUGGCGAGUAAGGAAUCUCAUAUCCACGAGGACUAAAAAUACUAGUAAUUGCUGAUAUCUUAUUAUUUUGCCGACAAAUUGGAGUGAUUGUGUUUUUAUCUAAAAUUACUAAACUAAUUUAACUAAGAACACAACAGAGAAUGAAUCAAAGAAAUAAUUGAAUAUUAACCAAUGAGAUAGACAAUACCCAGGAAAUAAUCCACCUAGACUUCACCCAUUAUUAUGAAUCUGAAUUAAAUGAUUUAUUCACUUGUGACUUGAUCCGUAGAAAUCUCUAAAUUAUGCUAAUAUCUCUUUCGAGAGUAAGAACAACUGACUCUAGGUUGAUUAAUUGAAAUCUCUUUCUAAUUAAAACCCUUAUCGUUGCAUUAACUCGAUCUAUAGAUUCCCUUAUUAGAUUUGACUCUAAUCUGGUAGAUUUAUGUCGUCUUAUUUCUAGGAUUACAUACAACUCCACUCAAUUAUUCUAGAUCUACUCUUAAACAUGGACUUUUGCUCCACUAGAUUAAUCACAUUAAAGAUGAAUUAAUAUCUCGAAAAUAUUAAAACAAGAAAUUAGCACACAUAAUUGAGAACAGGAAUCAAGUAUUUAUCAUGUAAAUCAUAAAUCAAAUAAUAAGAUUCAUCAUAGGUUUCAUCUUCCCUAGGUAUCUAGGUAAUCAAAUAAUAGAAACAUCUCAAAGUCAGAAUAACCACAAGACAUAAAGCAACUCAAAAAAACUUCGAAAAAAAUUAAAGAGAGAUCUUCGAUCUUGAUAUAGAUCUGUUUCCGAGUUGAUUCCAAUGGCAUUCUUCAAGUGUUUUCUUCGAUCUUCUUUAAUGGCCUCUUUAUGUCUUCUUCUAAUGGGUAUUUAUAAACUUUAGAAUGCUCAGAAAACCUAAAAAUUGGGUUUUCCACGUAUUAAGAAAGUAGGGUGCAAAAUCGACACGAGUUGGCACAUGGGCGUAUGUCCAGCCCGUAUAGAUCAUGAAAAUAGCUCUUUUUGUCUGAUUUUGUCUCGUUUUUUGCUCAUUUCAUUUCCAAAUGCUCUCCUAAGUAUAGAAUCAUGAAUUUAAAGGAUUAAGAGCGUCAAACUCACUAAUUUGCAUAAUUACUCAUCAAAAAACGCAUUAAGAAUGUGAUUAAAAUAUAUUGCUUUUAUAGCUUAUCAAAUAUCACCACACUUAGGCGUUUGCUUGUCCUCAAGCAAAAUCCUUAACUCUCAUUAAAAUUAAUAUUUCUCAAUUUAUAAUUUUCAUCAAUAAUGUCUCAAAAUAAUUCACAAAUAAUCAUGUAUUGGCGAUUCAACUAAAAGGGCAAUAAAGGUCCAAACAAUCAAAGUUAAAAAAUUUUAAAGCACAAAAACAUAGGUAUUUCCCCUUAUCUAAGUAAUUACCUUUAAUUCAAAAUCAACAAGAGUCGACAUCCUCACUAAAGAUUCACUUAAAUCACUCAAAGUGUUUAAGGUUCAAGGAUAAGCACUCAAAAGUCAAACAAGAAAGGUCAUUACCAUAUGCUUGCAUGAAAAUCAAAUCUCCACCACUAUAAAAUGAUAUGAUACACAAAUCAAAAGGUUUUUAAGAGGAUGUAAUGGGGCUUAGGUUGAGGGUGUGGAGAAAGGCACAAAUACUUCAUUAGUAAUAUCCUUCCUGAUCAACCUAUCAAACCAUCUAUUUGCAAUGUUAACAAACUCUUAUGAUUGUUGCGUGUAAAAAAAAACACAAAUAGCAAGAGAAUAUAAAUUGAACUGCCUUCGCUUUUCAUCUUGAACAUCAAGCCCUAGUUUCUACAACCAAAACACAAACACCUUGUCUACAAUAACAUAUUUUCCAACAAACUACUAAGAAGUUUUAGAAUUAUAAAACUUGCACUUCCUUAAGUACCUUAACUAUCAUUAAAGCAUCGAAAACAUAUUGUUCGAAGGAAGACGCUCUAAACAUCCAUGUCGCAAAAGAAAUUAAAAUAAACAAAGAUGUUAGCUUUUAGUAUUAUACCAUUUGAUUUGAAAUGUGUGUUUGUUGCGUGUAAAAAAAAACCCACAAAUAGCAAGAGAAUAUAAUUGAACUGCCUUCCCUUUUCAUCUUGAACAUCAAGCCCUAGUCUCUACAACCAACACACAAACACCUUGUUUACAAUAACAUAUUUUCCAACAAACUACUAAGAAGUUUUAGAAUUAUAAAACUUGCACUUCCUUAAGUACCUUAACUCUCAUUUAAACAUUGAAAACAUAUUGUUCGAUAGAAGACCUUCUAAACAUCUACGUCGUAAAAGAAAUUAAAAUAAACAAAGAUGUUAGCUUUUAGUAUUAUACCAUUUGAUUUGAAAUGUUUAAAAAUAUUUUUUAAUAAAUAUAUGUUUGUAGGUUGCAUUGCACCUAGGGAUACAUUUGAUUUGAGGGGUUGAGAGGGAAGUGAGGUCUAUGCCUUAACGGACGGUGCGACGAGCCUCGUGCUUCUUCUGGUUGUGGCUCUUUUUUACAUCGUGUUUCAAGUCGUCACUGAUUUCAUUUUCUUGGAGAUCAGAUGGAGAUGGGGCAUGGGGUAAUUUGGUUUCGCGUAGGCGAGAGGAAGUUUUUGACGGAGGAACAAAGAAAUAAAAAAGAUUGUAGAACCAUGCCCAUAAAAAGAAAAAAAGAAGAUAAGAAUAUAAAAGAAAAAUGGAAAGUGAGGGAAAAUAAAAAAGAAAAGAAAAGAAGGCAUAAUAAGAUGCCACAUGGCAGCAUACGAUUGGCUAGCGCUGCCACAUCAGCAAAAAAUUAAUGCUAUCAGUCUCACGUACUAAUUUGAGACAAAAGAAACCAUAAAUAUCAAUUUGGGAGAAGUGGAUAAGUUUGAGUAAUAAUUUUAUAUUUAACCUUUUUUUCAUACAAAUUUUUUGGGUGAAAGAGUAGAAUUAAAAACAAAUUACAAAAACUAGACCAUCCCCUCUAACGGAGAGGUCUUAAACAGACAUAACCAAUAAUCUCUAUGUUGGACCAAUUUGAUCAAAUGGUCAGCUUCCUGAUUUUCCUCUCUAAAAAUGUGUCUAAUGUCCCAUUGUUUAAACUGCGACAGUAUGUGAUGAAUUCUUCAAACCAAAGCAGAGUUGGACCCUUUAGUAGAUCCCUUCUAAAUAUCUAUAACCGCUUCAAAACAGUUAGAUUGAAUCACUACACUAUCAUAUCCUCGCUUCACAAUCAAAGACAGACCUUCCAUAAUACCCCACGACUCACCAAACAGUUCCCCAAAUAUUUAUUGUAUCCAACAAUCCAAAUUCUACCUCGAUCACAUAUUAUUCUCCCUACUGCCGUGAAUCCAGCUUCCUUCAGAAUGGAACCAUCUGUACUCAAAAGGACAUAGUUAUUAUUUAAAAAUAGAGACAGGAACUUACCUUGUGAGUCAUUUGUUUUGCCCCUUUUAGUAGAAACGUAUUGCUUUGCCUAGCUAUACGGCACCUUGAUAGUUUUACUAUCAUUUUAUGAAGUACCUUGAAAAAUUAAGAAAUCCACAAGCGCCAAAUGAUGAUCCCAAAUAGACAUUGCCAGUCAACAUCUCCCAAACACCAAUUAUGCUGAUUUUGCAAAUUUAGAACAAGCAACUCAUGUAGAUUUCCUACGUAAAAUCUAGGAAACUAUUCCAUCGGAAUUAAGUGGUCCCAAACAUUCCUCGCAGCCUUGCAAUCUCUAAUAGCAUGAAGUACAUCCUCAGAAUCCUGGCCACAACCCCACAUACUGGAUCAUAACCUAUUCCCAUCCGAGCUAAUUCAAACUUGGUAAGCAGAUGUUGGUUAAAAGCAAGCCAAAGAAAGAGUUGAACCCCUUAGGGUCUUUAGAGCUUCCACGAAAUGCACCACAUUAGCUCUUUCAGAUUCCGCGACCCUUCUCGAAGCUUCUCAUAAGCAUUUUUAAGGGAAAAGCAACCUGAUCAGGUACCUCCCCAAAUGAUUUUAUCAACCCCUACAGUCGUAUGCGGCGGAGGAAUCCCAACAAUCUUUCGAAUCACCUCCUCAAUGAGCCAUAAUUGGAAAAUGUCAAGGUUCUAUUCGCCAUUCUCAUUUACCUUGUCCCUUAGAUGACAUUCCAUAUCCAGUGAGGAACGACUAGGAACGGUCUUAGCCAACAACCCCACUCUUGAAACCCAUGGAUUGCGCCAACAUCUAAUACUUGUGCUAUUUCCUACUGACUAAAUCAAAUUUCUGAAAUAAAUGGCCAAGCUUUAGUGAGAGCUAUCCAUUAAAAAAGAGCAUCUACUCCACGAUAAAGAUUUUAGUAAACCACUAGAUAUUCCAUAUUUGUUCCUUAGAACCUUGACCAAAGGGGCCUUAGAAUUGGCUACAAUAUUAUAGCCCAAUUUCAUCAUAAAGGUGUUAUCAUCUUGCAGUUUAAAAUUGGAUCCUUUGUGUAAUGCCCCUAACCCGAAUCCGUCACUGGAAUAGAGUUACAGAGCAUUACCGGAGUUACCAAUUCAUUUAUCAGAUAUUCCAUUAAUCCGAUAUCUUUUCUUUUCCACGUUCAAGUCUCGUAUUCAAGUCAUCCGGAUAUUUAUAAAGAAAUUUGAUCGUUGUUUUCAUUUAUUUCAUGUUAUAAUACAUUCAACUAAUGCUCUAAACAAAAUUAUCAUUUUACCCCUAAACUUUUAAUUAAUGACGAUUUCAUCCUUAGGUUAAAAUAAAAUAAAAUUAUUGCAACUUAAUCCUUAUUUCCAGGCGUUAUUCUCACACAAAUUGAUAACAACCUAUGAAUUCUAUAAAAUGUUAGAAUUUUCCAUAAUUUCAACACUUUUCAAUUUAAUCCUUAAAACAUGUUUUUCCCUGAUCUUGAGCUAAAUUAAUAAUUUCAUUCAAUUUUUUUAAUUUAAAUAAUAAAAUAAUCCAUUUCAUGCAAAUUGGUCAUUUCUAACAUUUUUUUUACAAAAUUGCCCAUAAAAUUAUACUUUUAUUCAAUUUAGUCCAUGAGCCUAAAACAUACAAAUUAGCCAUGCUAACUGAAUAUUCAUACAUAUUUUCCUCAUCCUCCUCUCCAUUCCACAUCCUUAAUUUAUAUAACAUGCAACAAGUAACAUUAUCAAUAAUUUCACUAUUUACUUAUGUAUAUUCAAAACUGUCCAUUUGCGUCAUAGUCACUAAAUUAUUUAUAUCUUAAGCUACAGAACUCGAAAUUAAGAUCCGUUAAAUUUCCCUGAAACUAGACUUACUUAUCUUAUUACCAUAAAAUUUUCAGAAUUUUUGGUUUAGCCAAUAAGUACAGUUUAUUCUUUAAACUUGCCCUUGUUCUGCUGUCUGACAGUUCCGACCCUUCUUCACUAAGAAUUAAUUAUCUCAUCGUACGAGAAUGUUCCCGCUUAUUUCUAUUGAAAAUAGACUCUUUAAGGAUUUUAAACAUAUAAAUUUAAUCCCUUAAUUAUUUUUCUCAAAUUUUUGAUGAUUUUCCAAAGUCAGAACAGGGGAACCCGAAAUCAUUCUGACCUUGUCUCACAAAAGUUAUUGUAUCUCAUGAUUUACAAUUCCAUUGCUUACAUAAUUUAUUUUAUAAGAAACUAGACUCAAUAAGCUUUAAUUUCAUAUUUUAUUCAUCCUCUAAUUCGGUUUAUACAAUUUUUGGUGAUUUUUUAAAGUUAAACUACUGCUGCUGCCCAAAACAGUUUUAGUGCAAAAUGUUGAUUUCCAUUUUACCCCAAAUUUUACAAUUCAUACAAUUCAGUCCUUGCUCAAUUAACCCCUCAAUUAAGAUAAUUUUCUCAAUUAAUACUUUUUCUAGACAUUAUAAGUUAUUUCAUAACUACUGAAAUUCAGAAUUUCCACAUAAAACUCUAACUUCAAACUUUUUUACAAUUUAGGUCCCAAACAUUCACUUUCUAUUAAAUUCUUUCAAUAAAAUCAGCAUAUAAACAAUUUAAAGCUCUAAUUCUAUGUCAAAUCAUCAUAUACUUCCAGCACAUAUUCAUAGAAACUUUCAAUUUCUUUCAUAGAAUCAAGAACUAAUGAAUUCAACAAAUGGACCUAAUUGUAAAAGUCACAAAAACACAAAAAUUUCAAGAAUUAGUCAAGAAUUGAACUUACUUGCAGUAAAAAUAUGAAAAAACAGCUUAAGGGAACUCUUCCAUGGUGUUUUUGCUGAUGAGAAUGCAGAAAAAUAAAGAGAAAUCUAGAUAAUUCCACUUUAGUCCUAGCUUUAUUAAGUAAAUUUUGCAAUUUUGCAAUUUUUCCCUUAUUUUCUUGGUGAUUUCAUGCUCUUGCCGUCCAGCCCAAAUAGACCUUGGGUCUAUUUUCCUUUUAAACCCUCUUUCUUUUAUCAUUUAAGCUAUUUAAUCAUUUCCCACAAUUUUGCAUUUGAUAUAAUUUAGUCCUUUUUGUUCAAUUAGCUAUCAGUACUUUAAAAUUUCUUGAUGAAACUUUAAUACUAACUUAUUAACACUCCAUAAAUAUUUAUAAAAAUAUUUAUGGCUCGAUUUAAAAUUCCCGAGGUCUCGAUACCUCAUUUUCAAUUCUAAUUAUUUUAAUAUAUAUAUAUUUGUACAUUUCACUAUUUCAAAAUUUUUCCUAACUUCACAUUUAACUUAUACUCACUAAAUUAAUAAUAUUUCCUACUCAUUUGUCGGAUUUAGUGAUCUCAAAUCACUGUUCCAACACAACUGAAAAUUAAGUUGUUACACUUUGCAUAUCUAUGACAGGUGAUUAAUCAAUUUCGGCCCGCCUACUAUUUUUAUGUUAAUGGCGUUAUGUGUUAACUACUAAACUUCAAUGUUAAUUGAACAUUGCUUUCCUUUUACCUAAUUUGGAUUAGUGUUCAUUAAAUAAAAAAUAUUUUUUCAAUUAAAUAUAAAAGAUACCUAAUUAUUAGUAAAUUAAGGUAAAUAGCACUAGUAGUCACUCAAUUAUUAUUAAAUUUCUUUUUUGAUUGUCUAACUAUGAAAAGUUACAAAAUGAUCAUCCAACUAUUAGUAAAUUUCUUUUUUGUUGAUCCAACUAUAAAAAGUUACAAGUUUGUUGCUCAACAGUUCAAUUUUGCCUUUUCUGAGCACAAAUUGGCUAAUGACAACAAUAUUUAAAAUUGACAUAAUAGCACAUUUAACCCUCAAAAUAUAUACAUUGCAUCAAUUUAGACUUGAUUCUAAAAAAUCAAUCCCACAAUAUUUACACAUUGUGUAGUUUGAUCUCUUAUAUAGUUUUUUUUUUUUGUGACCCUUCCACAUAAAAAAAUAAAUUUAUUAGCUAAAUUUAAUUAAAAAUAUAAAAAAAAUGGAAAUGCCCAAAAAUCUUAUGUAAUAAUUUUAAUCUUAUAUCAUUAUUUUAAACUUAACCCCUAAUAUCACAAAUAAAAGUAAAACUACAAAAAAUUUUAAUAAAAAAUUUAUUUUUUAAAAUUAAAACUGAAUUAACAUAAUAAAUAAAUAUUAAGAAUUAAAUUUAUUAUUAUGCUAAUUUUCAAAGCGAUUAUCCUAUAAAUUAUUUUUAAAAUUUUGGGUCCAACUUGGACCAAGCUUUAAGAAAGCAGACGAAUUUUUGUAGCCUUAGCCUAGCCCCCUACUCCAAUAUUUCCCCCACUAAUAAAUAAACUAUUAAUAUUCCUCCACUAAUGCAUAAUAUAUUCCCCCACUAAUACAAAAACUAUUCCUCCACUAAUACUUGCCGAUCAGUUUGAAAUCUUAGGUAAAAAAUAAUGGUUGAAAUUAAUUAAACAUUUUUUUAUCUGUAACAAAAAAUAAUGGAUAAAUAAAAAAAUAAAUUUAAGAUUGUUUAGUAUAAAUAAUUAAAUUUUUUUAAAAAAAAUCAUGACAUUUUAUUAUCUUAUCAUCAAAAAAAUAAUAUUCUACCUUUCUUCUCUUCGAUGUUAUUAUUGUUUGAAUAUGAUUCGAUAUUUCCUUUUCAAAGAAUCAUUACUUUAAUGAUCCAUUCUUUUUGAUAUAAUUUUAAGUUAUUAUUACUAACAAUCUCCAAUUUUUUACAAAUAUAUUUUCUUUAAUGCUACUUGAUUAAAUAUACCUAAUUACGGAAUAUUUUUUUGUAAAGCUAAAGUUAAAUUUUAAUUGGUAUAUAAUUCUAAUACUAAUUAAGUGAUAAUUAGAAUUAUUAGAAUUCUAUUCAACUAAUAAAUUUAUUUUAUAUAAAUAAAAUUAGCACAUUUUUAAAUAAAAUAAAGUCAUUUUUUAUAAUAAUGUCAAAUUUAAAUUAUAAUUUUAUUAUCUAAUUAAGCGAUAAUUACAUUAGAAAAGCUACCUUGUUUGAGUAUUCUUAGCUUACAGGAUGAAGCGGACUAAAAUGACUUGUUUUGCCAAUGAAUUUCCUCAAUUUGAUUUUCUUCAUAUAUGCAAUCUAAAAGAGGUAGAGGAGUGAAAGAUAGAAGAAGGUGCAAUGCCACGUUUCUAAGUUUAUAUUUGAGUUUCAUUUCGAGAUGAUUCAAGAAAGGUUGAGAUACAUUACUACUCUUUAAAAAUUGAAAUUAAAAUUAAUGAGAAAAUCACUGGUAGAAAGAAUUCAAGAGAAGGAGAGGAUUUCUAUAAAAUAUGUCGCAUUCCUUCAUUAAAAUAUGGUAAUUUGUUUAUAUCUAAAUAAGUGUAUUAGGUUUAAAUAACACGGUAAAAAUAAUAAUAAAUAAUUGAAGUAAAUUACACCCAAAUUCACUAAACUAUGAGUAAGUUAACGUUUUGGUCAAUUAACUUCAAAAAGUUACAAAAUUGUCACUAAACUAUUCGAAAGUUUUAUUUAAGUCAUCGGGCUAUAUGGUCUUCAUUGUUUGCAUCCCCUGCACUAAUAAAAAACUCUUCUGCCUCUGCUUUUCUAUAGUUUAGGUUUUUUUUUUCAUGAAAUAAAUUUAAACGUCAUGUAUCUACGAACCAAAAUUCAAAUAGCUUUCUUCUCUGUUCUUUGACACAGACCAUUAGAUUGUCUUGAUCUAAUAUAUGUUUUUCUAUUCAUCUAUAAGUAUUGAUCCAUCAUACCAUUCAUCGAAUUGUUGCUUGAACCUCAGACUUUAACAAAAAGAAUUUAAUAGUCCAAUGACUUAAAUAAAAACUUUUGAAUAGUUCCAUGAUUCAAAUAAAGACCAUUGAAUAGUUCAAUGACUAUUUUGUAAUUUUUUAAAGUAAAAUGACAAAAAUAUAAAUUUAUUAAUAGUUUAGUAAUCUUGAAUGCAAUUUACCCAAAUAAUUAUUAUUAUUUUCUUUUGAUCUUAUCCUGUGAAUUAUGAGCAAUGACUGUUGGGUGUUCAAGUAGUUGUCAUUAGGAAGAAAUGAAAUUGAGGGUUGGCCUACUAAUGUCACUCAUCAUAACUUUUCUUCACAUGCCAUUUUACUUUAUUGAUUUUGAAUCCCAAAGUUUUCUUUAUUUGAUUUUGGAAAACCAUAAAAUAAAAGAAUACAUGAAUGCAGUUAUUUAAUGUCACUUUCCUACAAAUUUAUUGCAUGCCGUCCAAUUUGGAAAAUCUCUUGUGCUUUUGGAAUUUUGUCACCCAUCACUUUUUGUGUCCACCAAACGUUUUUUAAAAAUAAAAAUUUAUGACUUUAUUAUUUAUUUUAUAACAAUAAAUUGUUUUUAUAAAAAAAUUUAAACUUAAUUAUAAGUUGGAUUUAUUAAACUUUCUAUUUUGAAUUUCUUGUUAUUAUUCUGAAUUUCACAAAUAACCCCCCCCAAAAAAAAAAAACUUUCCCCUUAGUUAAACUGCAGGUAGCUUCCUACAAAUUUCCUAUUUCCGUUCACUUUGAACAUAUGCUAUUUUAUUUUAAAAAUUUAAGUCCCAACGAAAAAUAAUCAGCAACCUCACCCCCAAAAACAGCUCUUCAAAACUUCUGACAAAGAGAAAUACUUCCUCCACUAAUACAUCAAAUAUUCUACAAUUAUUUGCCGACCAGCAGGAGAAAUGGCAGGGGCUAUUGUGUCCUUAGUUGUUGAAAGAAUUUCUGAUCUACUCAUCCAUGAAGCACUUUUCCUCAAAGAUGUGAAAGAUCAAGUUGAGAGCCUAAAGUAUGAACUGAAGCGAAUGCAGUGUUUCUUGGAAAACGUUGACCGGAAGCCAGAACAAGACGAGCGUCUCCAUAAUCUGGUAUCGCAAAUCCGUGAUCUUUCUUGCGAUGCUGAAGAUGCCAUCGACUCUUUUAUUCUAGAAGCAGCACAUCAACGAGAUUCUCAUGGGAUUGUCAAGAGAUUCACCUCCAUUUUCACUAAACUUGAUCAUCUGCACAAAAUCAGGGUGCAGGUCAAAGCAAUCCAGACCAAGCUCCAAGACAUUUCCAAGAAUCUUCCAGCUUAUGAGAUACCCGGUGAUGGAGAAGACUCUAGCUCAAUUUUGAAGUUGCAGCAACGGUUAAGAAGGACAUACUCGCAUGUCGAGGAAGAGGACGUUGUUAGCUUGGAGGUUAGCACCAAGGAAGUCAUGACCAAGUUGAUGACUGAAGAAGAUAGAGCCCACGCCGUCGUUUCCAUAGUCGGCAUGGGGGGCAUUGGUAAGACUACUCUUGCCAGAAAAGUAUAUAAUCAUGUUGAUGUGAGACGCCAUUUUGAUUUCUUGGCUUGGGUUUAUAUAUCUCAACAAUGUAAGCAGAUAGAAGUUUUGCUUAGUGUCUUAAUGAAAGUUCUCUCCCCUUCUAAAGAUGAAAAAGAGCUAAUUGAGAAACUGGACGAGAGUAAGCUGAUGAAAAGGCUUUUUGAUGCUUUGAAAGAAAAGCGGUAUUUGGUAGUCCUCGAUGAUAUUUGGAGAAGCGAGGAUUGGGAUAUUCUUAAACUUGCUUUUCCACGAGGAAGAAUGGGAAGCAAAAUACUAUUCACAACACGCAAUAGGAAUGUGGCUUUUGAUGCCGAUCCUUGCAACACUCCCAUUGAGCUCUCAGUUCUUACUGAUGAUGAAAGCUGGAAUCUUUUGUGUAGGAAAGCAUUCCCACGAAGCAAAAUGGGUUCUCAAUGCUGCUCAGAAGAAUUUGAGAAGCUUGGAAAAGAGAUGGUGAAAAAUUGUGGAGGUCUGCCUUUAGCUAUUGUUGUGUUGGGAGGCUUGCUAGCAAGAAAACAGUCAUUGGCUCAAUGGGAGAUGUUUUACGAAAACAUCCAUGGACACUUAAAAGGGCUCCCACACCAAGAUAAAAAUGGUGCAGUGAACAGAAUUUUGGUUUCAAGCUACAAUGAUUUGCCUUAUCCUUUAAAACCAUGCUUUCUGUAUCUUGGUCAUUAUCCAAAAGAUUGGGAGAUAUCAAAAAACGAACUCAUAAGAUUAUGGAUAGCUGAAGGUUUCAUUUCACCAUCACUGGAAAGCAAAGAAAUCUCGAUGGAGGAUGUAGGCGAACACUUCCUAGAACAGCUUAUAGAUAGGAGCUUGGUUCAGGUUAGCAGGCAAGGCUAUACAGGAACAGAUGUUAAGACAUGUCGAGUGAAUGAUCUCUUGAGGGACUUGUGCAUUAAGAAAGCAAAAGAGGAGAAGUUAUUGGAAAUUAUUCAACAAUCAUCGGCUCAAUUUGAUGUGACUUUGGUCGAACCUAUGCUACGAAUAAUUUCUAUUCAUCCUAGAGAAGGGAAAGUUCAUUUGAAGGGAGAGCAUCCAAAAUUACGUUCUUUAUUGUUGCCUCAAAAUGAGACAUUGGUAGAAUUUUGCAUUUCAAAUUGCAAAAGCUUCAAAUUUUUAAGGGUGUUGACUCUUUUAAAAAGGAACGUCGAAAAGUGGCAUGUGUCAAAUGAAAUCGGUGAUCUCCUACAUUUGAGAUACUUGAAGUUAGAAUGCUGGAACGAAAUGAUUUUGCCGCAAUCUAUUGGCAGAUUGAAGAGUUUAUACACUUUAUACAUCAAGUAUCAUACUGACAUUGUAAUUCCAGAUGUUGUGUUCAAGUUGGAACGUUUAAGGCAUAUUGUAAUAAAAAGGAUUGCGUUGUUCGGAAGAGGAUUUCGUUUGCGGCUAGGGUUCACUUCAAAAAAUAUUGAAACUUUGAAGUACAUAAUGGUGGAUGAGAAGUCGAUUGAAAAUAAUGUGGUGCUUAGGUGGACUAAUAUUCAGAGUUUAGGAAUAGUAUUUACAAGAGCAGAAUAUGUGAAGCCUAUCCUAAUCUUGCUAACCAAAUUGCAACGCCUUGGGUCAGUGUCUUUGGAGGUUUUAGACGAUUCAAACCUAUCAUAUCUAGACUUAGAACCUCUUUCUUGGUGCCACCACCUCUCCAAACUGAGAUUAGCUGGGGGGAUAAAAGAUGAUCCACAUUCGAGCUGUCAUAUUUUGAAAUUUCUUCCACCAAAUAUCGUCAAAUUAACUCUGUUUUGGUGUAGGAUGAGCCAGGAUCCAAUGGGUGUAUUGGAAAAGCUAUGUCAUUUGAGGAUUCUCUAUUUGGAAGGAGUAUAUAACGGGAGUAAAAUGAUGUGCUCUGCCAAUGGGUUUCGUCAGCUUGAUUCUCUUCAAAUGAUUGGUCUAGAAGAGUUGGAGGAGUGGGAAAUAGAAAAGGGUGCAAUGCCAUGCCUUCGAAGAUUGGAGUUGGCCGAUGUUGAUAGUUUAGGGAUGCUUCCAGAAGGAUUGAGGUUUAUUACUACUCUUCAAGAAAUGAUAUUAACAAAUAUAAGUUCGUCAUUGAAAGAAAGAAUUAAAGUGAUAGAUGGAAGAGAAGGAGAGGAUUUCUAUAAAGUGUGUCACAUUCUCUCUAUCCACAUUUUCUGAUCUCAAGUAAUUGGAGCCAACAUCACGCGAGGUUUUUUUCUUUUUUUUCUGUAAAAUAAUAUAUUUUUUAUUUUCCUUUCACUCAUAUAGUUGGAGAUUGAUAUAAAAUUAAUAAAAUAACCAAAAUUCAUAAAUUCCAUGUCAUAUUUUUAAUUGAUAUACAUAAAAGAUGAUGAUAUGUGUAUACCAUUUUUUUUCUUGACGUAGGUAAUCUAAUUAGCAUUGAAAUGCACUUCGUCGGGAUAUUCAACUCCAUCAAGUGUGUGUUUUUAAGAAUUGGAUUGGUGAAUGAAGUGAUUGUUUAUAUGAAUAAUUUGAUGAGAGUACAAAUUUUAGUUAUCCAAUGUUUUCCUUUUUUCUAAAUUCUAUAUAUCUCUAUGUUCUUUUUUCUUAUAUUUCGAAACUUUAGUUCUCUUGCUUAUGAUAUUAGUUUUGAGAUCAAUUCAAUAUUUUCUUCAAUUGUCUUUAUUAAAUAAUAUAUAAAAUAGAUUCGUACAUGCGUUGGCUUAUAUGGUCCAAUGAUUGAAUUUCUUAUCAAAUCACCAUUUUGACACGAGUUAAAACCUUAUAACGCCUAUCUCCACUCAAUAUUGUAUAAAAAUUAGAUUCAUACAUUAAUUAUUGUGGAACUUUUAAUCGUUUAAUAGAUGAUAUUUCAAGGAGGGAACGCACGUACAAACCUGUACAUUACAAGUGGAGUACUUCAUUUGGGACUAGUAGCCACCAAUCUCGACUAUGGAUCAUAGAACGAACAUGGAGAACACAAAAAAAAAAUGGUAUGAGAAUUACUCAUUUUAUAUUUUUUAAUUAUUAUUAACAUAGAUAAGGUUACAUGUGGAGAUAUGUCUCGCAUUUUGACCAAAACAGUAUGUGAUGUUGAAACAAGAAGAAGCUCUUUGUCCUGAUGAGGAGCUGAAGUCAUGACAAGAAGAAAGUCCUCAUCCAAACGACGCAAUCCUCCUUGUCCCGACAACCAAACGCCACAUCACAAUGUGGCAACAUGUCACUUAAGUUUUCCGGCUUUCUUUUCUCAGUUAAAUUCUGUUUUAGUUUCCCACUUAAAUUCUGAUUAACCUAAUGAUAUUCUAGUCAUAUAUGCUAUGAAUUUCAGCCUAUAAAUAGUCUUAGUUACUCUAGGUUUUAGACAAUAGAAAUAUUAAGAUCGAGAUAAUUCUAUUCUUUGAGUUUAAAAAGGACUCAGUUUUUCUUCUUUCUUUUUUUCAAUGGGGUUCUCGGUUGAUAAGCUACAAUAUUGCUGCCUUCUAUUGACUUGUUGCAUUAGAUCAUAUAGGGAGUAUUUCUAUGUUCUGUAAAUCCUCUUAUUCCCUUUUGGAUAUCUGGGUAUCAUUUUAAUAUGAUUCCUGAAAAUUCAAGCACUUUCUUAAUGAUUUUUUGGGUUAGAAAUAGAACUGCGGAAAAGUUUAAUGUUUUCUCCCUUUCUUAUCAAAGUGUUUUGAUUUUUUUGGUCUUUCACAAUUCAAAAUGUUGUUGAAUUUCUUUGUAGCAUAUGUAGAAUUUUUUGGUGUUUCAAUCUAGAAUUUCUUAACCUAUAUUGUUGUCUGCCCUCCUCUUUCUCAUAUGUCUAAUAUAUUUGAGAAAAAUGGUUUUUACUAUUUUCUAUUGAAGAGUAUUUGUUUCGAAUUAUGCAGUGGAUAGAUAUGCAAACAAAGAAUAUUGGCAUCUUGAUAUCACGUUUUAACCUUCUUGUUCUUUGAGUUGAUCAAAGAUUUGUCUAAUGUAUUAAAUUUUUUUCAGGAAAUUGUAGUUUGCAUUGAUUUUUGCUGGAGAUGGUUUCCAUAUCUGAUUCUGGUUUGGUUAUGGCUACCAAAUUUGGUGCCCAUACUAUUGAUCAUAAGUUUGAUCUGAUGUAUGCAAAGCGUGCAUUUGUGCAUUGGUAUAUCGGUGAGGGUAUGGAGGAAGGUGAGUUUUCUGAAGCUAGAGAAGACUUGGCUGCUCUUGAGAAAGAUUAUGAAGAAGUGGGCUUGGAAUCUGGUGAAGGAGAUGAAGAUGAAGGGGAUGAGUACUAGGCUAGAAUAUAGAGUAAAAUCUGCCAAUGGACUUAUUGGUCAGCUAAUAAAAAUGGGUUAUUUUGUUUGUCUUCUCUAUUGUAUCAAACUUCAAAACAUGUUUUAAUGGAUCUUUGCUUAAUUUCAUAUGCUCUAACUUGCAGUAAUUUCAUAAGCUUCAAAAAGUAUGCGUGCUUCAAAAAUGGGUUCUUUUGUUUGUAUUCUCUAUUGUAGUAUCAAACUUUUUAAUGGAUCUUUGCUUAAUUGUUUUAUUAAAUUAUAUAAGAAUAUUAAUUAUUAAUAAUUUUUAUUAAAUUAUAUAUUUUAAUUAUAAUAUAUUUAAUAAUAAUUAUGUUAAUUUAUAUUUUAUAGUAUCAUAUAUUAUGAUUUGAGUAAAUUCAUAUAAAAAUAUUAAUUAUUAAGAAUUUUAUUAAAUUAUAUAUUUUAAUUAUAAUAUAUUUAAUAAUAAUUAUGUUUAAAUAUGAUUAAAUUAUUUAUUAUUGAUAUUAAUAAUCUUAUUAAAAUUUAAAUAACAAUAACAAUAAUCAUUUACCAAAACAAAUUUAUGCUAAGGGUAUUCUAGUCAUUUUAGUUUUUUCCAUUAUGCUAUUACACCUCUAUUCCAUUUAACCAAACACAAGAUUACUAUUACACCUCUAUUCCAUUACAUUCAACCAAACAGUUGAUUUGCUAUUACACCUCUAAUCCAGUACACCUCUAAUCCAAUACAGCGAACCAAACGUGCCCUAAUUGUAGUUCAAAUGUAUACUUGAAACUUUAAUUUUAUUUUAAUUAUAUACAUCUAAAAAAAUAAAUUUAUUAAUUUAUUUUUUAUUAGAUAAAUAUAAUUAUCUAUGUAUGCAAUUUAUAAAUAAAAAAUGAUAUUAUAUCAGUAAUUAUUUUAAUACUUAACAAGAAUUAGAUCAAAUUAAAAUUUUACAUAUAAUUACACAUUAACACAUAGUUCAUGUAUAGUUUUAAUAUUUAUCAAUAUCUAUUAACUAUCUAUUAGUUAUUCAUAAUUUUAUUAAUUAUUCAUAAUUACUAUGAAUUAUAGACUCGAAUUUAGAAAAACUAAAAUUAUUUCUAAUUUUAAUGCUAUACUUAAUAAGGUUGAAACCAUUAGAUCUAGAUUUGGAACCUUUUUUCAGCGUCACGGUUUUUUUAAACUAAAAGUUUUCGGGGAAUAUAAAAGAAGAUUAACAUUUGAGCCUAAGAAAGGAAAUACAGAUAAAUUAAAGUAUUCGAAUGGUUAACGAAAUACAAAUUUUAAAAAAUGGGAAUUUUAUUUUUAAUUUAAUUUAUAGUUAUUUCUAAUAAUUAUAAUAUCAUAGGUUUGUAAGAUAUUUGAAGGGGUAUGAGGGUUGCUUCAGUUUCAGAAAUAGUAAAGCUUUGGGAAUUCAUUUGGGGGUAUUUCAUUGCUAAGCAAGGAAUCAAGGAGUAGGGAAAGCUAGAAAAAGAAUCCCCAUUUUCUUAAGCAAAGAAUUUAAUUAAAAGAGGAAAGAAGAAUCUGCUUUUGCUUUCUUCUUGUUCAAUUUUAAUUAUCAUUUACUUUUGAUAGAACAAUAACAAAAAAAAGGAAUCAGAAAAUACACACAGGCUGAUUAUCAAUCUGUUUUACAUCCAAAAAAAAAAAAAACAAGAAAUUCAGACUUUUUUUUUAAUCAGCUAGAGAAAUGGCAGAGGCUAUUGUGUCCUUAGCUGUUGAAAGAAUUUCAGAAUUACUCAUCCGUGAAGCAGUUUUCCUCAAAGAUGUCAAGGAAGAAGUUGAGAGCCUAAACACUGAACUAAAACGAAUGCAGUGUUUCUUGGAGGACGUUGAUGGGAAGGCGGAACAAGACACGCGUCUCCGUAAUCGGGUAUCCGAAAUCAGAGAUCUUGCUUACGAUGCUGAAGAUGUUAUCGACUCCUUCAUCCUUGAACGUGCACAUCAAGGAGGCUUUCAAGGAAUGGUCAAGAGAUUCACCUCCAUUUGCACCAAACCUUGGCAUUUGCACAAAAUCGGGGUGCAGGUCAAAGCAAUCCAGACCAAGCUCCAAAACAUUUCCAAGAAUCUUCCAGCUUAUGAGAUAUCCCGUGCUGGAGAAGGUUCUAGCUCAGUUUUCAACGUGCAGCGACAGUUAAGAAGGACAUACUCACAUGUCGAGGAAGAGGACGUUGUUAGCUUGGAGGUUAGCACGAAAGAUGUCAUUACCAAGUUGAUGACUGAAGAAGAUAGACCCCACGCCGUGGUUUCCAUAGUCGGCAUGGGGGGCCUCGGUAAGACUACUCUUGCCAGAAAAGUAUAUAAUCAUGUUGAUGUGAGACGCCAUUUUGAUUUCUUGGCUUGGUUUUCUAUCUCUCAACAAUGUAAGCCGAGAGAAGUUUUGCUUAGUGUCUUGAAGAAAGUUCUCUCUCCUUCUAACGAUGAAAGAGAGAAAAUUGAGAAAAUGGACGAGAUUGAGCUGAGGAGAACGCUUUUUGAUGCUUUGAAAGAAAAGCGGUUUUUGGUGGUCCUCGAUGAUAUUUGGAGAAGCGAGGAUUGGGAUAUUCUUAAACCUGCUUUUCCACGAGGAAGAAAGGGAAGCAAAAUAUUGUUCACAACACGAAACAGGAAUGUGGCUUCACGUGCCGAUCCUUGGAGCACUCCUGUGGAGCUCUCACUUCUUACAGAUGAUGAAAGUUGGAAUCUUUUGUGUAAGAAAGCAUUCCCACGGAGCAAAAUGGGUUCUCAAUGCUGCUCAGAAGAAUUUGUGAAGCUUGGAAAAGAGAUGGCGAAAAAAUGUGGAGGCUUGCCUUUAGCAAUUGUUGUGUUGGGUUGCUUGCUGGCAACAAAACAGUCAGUGGCUCAAUGGGAGAUGGUUCAUAAAAACAUCCAUGGACACUUAAAUGAGCUCCCACGCCAAGAUCGUCAAUAUGGUGCAGUGAACCGAAUUUUGGUUUCAAGCUACAAUGACUUGCCUUAUCCUUUAAAACCAUGCUUUUUGUAUCUUAGUCAUUAUCCAGAAGAUUGGGAGAUACCGAUAAAAGAACUCAUUCGUUUAUGGAUCGCUGAAGGUUUCAUUCCGGAAAACAAAGAAUUCGUGAUGGAGAAUUUAGGCGAAAAAUUCCUAGAAGAGCUUAUAGAUAGGAGCUUGGUUCAAGUUAGCAGGCGAGACUAUACAGGAACAAAUGUGGAGACAUGUCGAAUGCAUGAUCUCUUGAGGGACUUGUGCAUGAAGAAAGCAAGAGAGGAGAAGUUCUUGGAAAUUAUUCAACAACCACUGAAUGAACUUGAAGUGACAUUGGCAGAAUCUAUGCUACGAAGAAUUUCUAUUCAUCGUAGUGAAAUAUCGAAAGUUUAUUUGAAGGGAGAGCAUCCA